rnacentral:rRNA from 1 species
CGUUGAUAGGUCGGGUGUGUAAGCGUAGCGAUACGUUGAGCUAACCGAUACUAAUGAACCGUGAGGCUUAACCUUACAACGCCGAAG